UACGGAGGAUCCAAGCGUUAUCCGGAUUUAUUGGGUUUAAAGGGUGCGUAGGCGGCCUGUUAAGUCAGGGGUGAAAGACGGUAGCUCAACUAUCGCAGUGCCCUUGAUACUGAUGGGCUUGAAUGUACUAGAGGUAGGCGGAAUGUGACAAGUAGCGGUGAAAUGCAUAGAUAUGUCACAGAACACCUAUUGCGAAGGCAGCUAGCUAGACCGACAUUGACGCUGAGGCACGAAAGCGUGGGGAUCAAACAGG
rnacentral:rRNA from 1 species